GUGAGGAAUUUUCCGCAAUGGGCGAAAGCCUGACGGAGCAAUGCCGCGUGAAGGAUGAAGGCCUAUGGGUUGUAAACUUCUUUUCUCAGAAAAGAAUUAUGACGGUAUCUGAGGAAUAAGCAUCUGCUAACUCUGUGCCAGCAGCCGCGGUAAGACAGAGGAUGCAAGCGUUAUCCGGAAUGAUUGUUCGUAAAGCGUCUGUAGGUUGUUUAAAAAGUAUUCUGUCAAAGAUGAGGGCUUAACCAUAGAUAGGCAGAAGAGACGUUUAGGCUAGAUUGUGGUAGAGGCAGAGGGAAUUCCCGGUGGAGUGGUGAAAUGCGUAGAUAUCGGGAGGAACACCAAAGGCGAAGGCACUCUGCUGGGCCAAUACUAACACUGAGAGACGAACGCGAGGGGAGCAAAUGGGAUUAGAAACCCCGGUAGUCC
rnacentral:rRNA from 1 species